rnacentral:misc_RNA from 1 species
UGGCUCUCGCAUCGAUGAAGAACGCAGCGAAAUGCGAUAAGUAAUGUGAAUUGCAGAAUUCAGUGAAUCAUCGAAUCUUUGAACGCACAUUGCGCUCUUUGGUAUUCCGAAGAGCAUGCCUGUUUGAGUGUCAUAAUAACCUCACCUCUCCAGUUUAUCUGGAGUUGUGGUUUGGACGUCUGCCAGCUUCACGGUUGGCUUGUCUUAAAUGCAUUAGUGGACGAUAGCGUGAUAAGUCUUCGCUUGCACACCACUCUAAUAACAAUCUUUUAAUCUGACCUCAAAUCAGGUAGGACUACCCGCUGA